ensembl:lncRNA
UAUGCAUUAUUGUUUAAUUGUUUAAUUAUACAUGUAUGAAAUGUUAAUUAAAAAGUACAUCUUUUCAUUUAUUUUUAGUAUUAAAAUCAAAUUGAAAUGCCCUCAUUGUGCCAAGGAUCUGGUUCGUCUGGAUAAGCAUUUCGCUUUCUUCCACAACCUGAGUGCAAGUUGUUUCUUUUACGUAAAUGCAUUCUCAUAUAAAUAACUGUCACUACAUCUUAGUGUUUGCUCUGUUUUUCAGGCUGUGGACUGUAAGGCACAACUAAAACCUGCCAAACAACAAAGGGUGCUGGAACUCCUUGCGACUCUCUGGGCCUCACAUCCACCAAUGCUGACAAGCCUGGAUGUGCAAAUGAGCAACAAAGCUGAGGAACAUCCAGACAUCCCCCAGAAUGUUCCAGCACCCCCUGUAGCCAAGACACGAUCCAGGGCAGCCACUAGUUUGAGCUCUGGAAUGAAAAAAAUACAGAAUAACGCGACAAAUUGCAGAUAUUGCAGCUCUGAGCGGGAGGAUAAGGGCCACGAAAUAUGAAAGGGUGUCUCCAGGUUUGUUUGUGGUGGGACCAAUUCCACAGCUAUAAAACACAAAUUGGAGCAGUUGGACCAUUUCCUAAAGUGGCUCCAAGAUCUAAGUGGGUGUGUGCAUCUCUACUGAGCUAUGCCAUCAUGAUAAUAAAAAACAUUGAGAAGCAUGUGACACGUGGCAGUAUGACCCGCCAGCAAGAAGUUGGUCAAGACACAAAGCCAGUUCCCUCAUGCCAGUGAGAACGAGCUGCCAGACCGAUGCACGAUUUCUCAGAGAGCAAGCCUGAGAGAAUAGAACAUCGGUCUUCAUCUUGCAAAAUGCAUCCAAGAGGAAAUCUUAAAGCAGGAAUCUCAAUCAUCAUCCCCAAAAUGCUCUUACAUGUGCUCAUUUGCCCACUCAAAUACACGUUCAUGCUUGUGUCCUUGACAGGGUCAUUGCUAAAUCUCUUUCAGAGCUGCAGUGCUAAAUAUGCAAGAGAAGACCAACACCUGAAUGUUAAUCAGCUCUGCCUGAUUCUUCGUCUUUACACGGCUCACUGCCUGUGGACCUCCAGUACUGGCUCUCUGAACAUGAUGGAUGAAGCUAGACUGAUGUGCUGUCACAUGUCCAUGCCAGUCCAAAGAUAAAUAUGUUACAUGUCGACCAGGUUCUGACAGCUUCUGUUUAUUGUUACAGCAUUGUUUCAGGGCAUUUUGUUAUUUGCUUCUUGUCUUUUCUUCUGUCAUACGAUCUUUUUCUUGGAAACACAAGCUUGCGUUUUUGUUGUUAAUACAGUACAGCAUUCUUUAUUGGUGUUUUUUGUAAAUAUGUAACCAAUAAAGGUACACAUAAAAAUGCCGCUAUCUCUUUC